UGGAGAUUCCGCCCCAGAGUUCGAAUCUUCAAUUUAAAGAGAAAAAGGGCAAUCCACUCGUGCGCGCGCUCCGUUUCUAUUUCCAGGUUCCUUAUCUGACCUUUGGUACUGGGGCAACUGGACACAGUGCAGGUAGUCCUCAACUUGUGACUGCAAUGGAGCCCAACAUUUAUGUUGUUAAUGCCCUGCCCUACCUACCAUUUUCAAGAGAUGGUUCCUCCUCGACUUGUCCAGACACAUUAGAGAAUUUGGUGUGACAGACAGCAGGGUUGUCUUGGAUGUUCCUUUCGUUGACCCAUCAUCAUAAUCACAUGAUCAACUUUCAGAUACUUGGCAACCAACUCCUAUUUCUGACGGCUCCAGUGUUCCAGGAUCAUGGGAUCACCAUCUGACAAACAAAGUCAAAGGAAAAGCCAGAUUCAC